UCGUAAAUACAUCAAUAACAAACAAAGGAAGAACUAUCAAAUGAACUAUGUCACCCAAAAGCUCGGUCUUUGCUCCUUCUUUAGCUAAUAUGUUUGCUAUCCUGUUCUGCUCCCUACAAGUGUGGCUAAGUCUUGGAUUCUCAAUUUGCUUCAUCAACGUAACUACCUGAUUAACAUAUAUAAAUUUGUGUUAAAACUUAAGUUCCUUUUCUCCUUUUCUCGAAUAAACUACUUACCUCCAUAGAGUCCGAGAAAAAUCAUAUUUGUAUGAUUAUAACUUUAAUAAAAAGCAAAAUUUAUAUGAUAUGACAUGCAACACAAGUAAUUUGGAGACUUCACUAAUUGCAUGCAAUGUAUAUAAUAUGUCUCUAUUUUAACGCAUGCUAGCAAAAUUAUGGACUAUAUAUUAUACCUUUUAAUAGUAAAAAAAAAUGUGACCACUUGCCAUAAUUCCUGGAGGACUUGCUUGUUUGAUGACCACAACCUUUCCGUAGACAUAUCAC
rnacentral:lncRNA from 1 species